GGGAAUUCUUCAAGAAACCACCAAUACAACAUAAAUUCAUCCAUAAUUGUUCAUAUAACAUCAAUCAAAGUCAGUUUAUAACAUCAAUUUCACUUUAGAAAGAAGACCCACGUUUUUGGAUUGAAACCUAGAAAUUGGAGAUUUUGAAAUUCAUCUUGAAGGGGCCUCUUGGGGAAAGGAAUCCCAAGAGUGAUAAGCAACCAUACCUUAUUGA
rnacentral:lncRNA from 1 species